rnacentral:rRNA from 1 species
GACGAACGCUGGCGGCGUGCUUAACACAUGCAAGUCGAGCGGGGUCCAUCCGGUAGCAAUACCGGUGAAGACCUAGCGGCGAACGGGUGAGUAACACGUGAGCAACCUGCCCCGAAGUUUGGGUAGUAACACCGGGAAACCGGUAGCUAAUACCAAAUGCCUUCACCGACGUCACCUGGCGUUGGUAGAAGAAAGAUUUAUCGCGUUCGGGAGGGGCUCGCGGCCUAUCAGCUUGUUGGUGGGGUAACGGCCCACC